rnacentral:misc_RNA from 1 species
UGUGCUCCUGAGGGCUCUCCUGCA